UGCCUUGAGUUCAGUUCAGGGCAGCUCCCUGUUCAGUUAAUUAAUCUUUGGGACAUGAGCAGGGUAAGGUAGAUGAUUACAUAGAAAAUACUACUCUAUUCAUUUAUCUCUCAGCCGACAGAA